rnacentral:rRNA from 1 species
GACGAACGCUGGCGGCGCGCUUAACACAUGCAAGCCGAGCGAGAACCAGGGCUUCGGCCCUGGGGAAAGCGGCGAACGGGUGAGUAACACGUGAGUAAUCCACCCUCGGCACCGGGAUAGCCCGGGGAAACCCGGAUUAAUACCGGAUGGCCCGCCGGCCCUGCGGGGCUGGUGGAAAAGGUAGCUUCGGCCUCCGGCCGAGGACGAGCUCGCGGCGGAUUAGCUUGUUGGCGGGGUAACGGCCCACCAAGGCGACGAUCCGUAGCUGGUCUGAGAGGACGAUCAGCCACACUGGGACUGGGACACGGCCCAGACUCCUACGGGAGGCAGCAGUGGGGAAUCUUGCGCAAUGGGCGAAAGCCUGACGCAGCGACGCCGCGUGAGGGAAGAAGGCCUUCGGGUUGUAAACCUCUUUCAGUAGGGACGAAGCCACUCGGGUGAAUAGCCCAGAGGGUGACGGUACCUACAGAAGAAGCCCCGGCUAACUACGUGCCAGCCGCCGCAGUAAGAC